UACGUAGGGGGCUAGCGUUGUCCGGAAUCAUUGGGCGUAAAGCGCGCGUAGGCGGCUCGAUCAGUCUGCUGUAAAAGUCAAAGGCUCAACCUUUGAAUGCCGGUGGAUACUGUCGGGCUAGAGUCCGGAAGAGGCGAGUGGAAUUCCUGGUGUAGCGGUGAAAUGCGCAGAUAUCGGGAGGAACACCAAUGGCGAAAGCAGGUAACUGGACUAUUACUGACACUCAACUGCGAAAGCUAGGGGAGCAAACAGG
rnacentral:rRNA from 1 species